AUACGUAGGUGGCAAGCGUUGUCCGGAUUUAUUGGGCGUAAAGCGAGCGCAGGCGGUUUCUUAAGUCUGAUGUGAAAGCCCCCGGCUCAAACGGGGAGGGUCAUUGGAAACUGGGAGACUUGAGUGCAGAAGAGGAGAGUGGAAUUCCAUGUGUAGCGGUGAAAUGCGUAGAUAUAUGGAGGAACACCAGUGGCGAAGGCGGCUCUCUGGUCUGCAACUGACGCUGAGGCUCGAAAGCGUGGGGAGCAAACAGGAUUAGAUACCCUGGUAGUCCACGCCGUAAACGAUGAGUGCUAAGUGUUGGAGGGUUUCCGCCCUUCAGUGCUGCAGCAAACGCAUUAAGCACUCCGCCUGGGGAGUACGACCGCAAGGUUGAAACUCAAAGGAAUUGGCGGGG
rnacentral:rRNA from 1 species